GAUUAAAGAUAAAGAAAAAC
rnacentral:sRNA from 1 species